UGGGGAAUAUUGCACAAUGGGCGCAAGCCUGAUGCAGCGAUGCCGCGUGAGGGAAGAAGGUUUUAGGAUUGUAAACCUCUGUCUUCAGGGACGAUAAUGACGGUACCUGAGGAGGAAGCUCCGGCUAACUACGUGCCAGCAGCCGCGGUAAUACGUAGGGAGCGAGCGUUGUCCGGAAUUACUGGGUGUAAAGGGAGUGUAGGCGGGACUGCAAGUCAGAUGUGAAAUGUAGGGGCUCAACCCCUGCCCUGCAUUUGAAACUGUGGAUCUUGAGUGAAGUAGAGGUAAGCGGAAUUCCUAGUGUAGCGGUGAAAUGCGUAGAUAUUAGGAGGAACAUCAGUGGCGAAGGCGGCUUACUGGGCUUUUACUGACGCUGAGGCUCGAAAGCGUGGGGAGCAAACAGG
rnacentral:rRNA from 2 species